rnacentral:rRNA from 1 species
AUGACGAAAGACAACCUGGCCAAGAGAGGCAUAGAAAAAGCCCCGAAAUGUGUAUACUGCUCUGAAAAAGAGUCCAUUACACACUUAUUCUUUGAAUGUGUGGUGGCCAAGCAAAUCUGGGCAGAAAUAUCAGAGUUUUUUGAUGUAGAAUUAGGAACUAACUACUUAUCAAUUGCUAGAUUUUGGCCAGCUAACAAGAAGCAUAUUGCUUUAAAUUCAGUCUGUGCAUGUGUUCUAUGGGCUAUGUGGAAAAAUAGAAAUUCACAUGUCUUUAACAAUGCUAUAUGGACUGAUGUGAAACAGAUAUGGAGGAGAGUGCUAGGACAAUUCAGGAGAUGGCUGAUCUUGUUCAGAGGACCUGCCUUGACAAAACUAGAGGCGUUCGUUCAGAAAAUCUCCUGCAUCCUAGAUGCCCCCCUCCAGAUUCUGGCAGGUUAA